GCUAAAAGAGGAUGAUCAUCAAGAGAAACAAGCAAAGAGGAAAGAUCUGUGACUUCCGUCAAGGAACUCUGAGCCCACUGCAAGUUUUCACAUACCCCAGAGAAAGCAGAUCCCAGUACCUGCCUGCCCUGGAAACCAGAAAGGCCUGAGAUUUGAACGAGCUGUUGUCUGUACAGAUGGAGCCUCAGCUGAGGGACUGCUGCUCCUCUUCACCAUGCUGAACCUCGCUGUUGGAUUGCGCGGAUGGGCAAGAGAAUGGAAAACGUGGCCCACAGCAGCUUCGACACGUGGCACAGAGAUUGCAGCUCCGAGGAGGCCGUUUCACCUGCUCUCUCCUCCUCACUCGUUCCUGGCGGUGGCUCCACUUAAAGCUUGGACUCGUGGCUCCAAUCAAGCGAGCGCCCGAAUUCCUAGAGGUACCAUUUUGCAGCAAUGUGAGCCUAAUUGUUUCUAG
rnacentral:lncRNA from 1 species